GAUGAACGCUGGCGGCGUGCCUAAUACAUGCAAGUCGAGCGAACAGACGAGGAGCUUGCUCCUCUGACGUUAGCGGCGCACGGGUGAGUAACACGUGGAUAACCUACCUAUAAGACUGGGAUAACUUCGGGAAACCGGAGCUAAUACCGGAUAAUAUAUUGAACCGCAUGGUUCAAUAGUGAAAGUCGGUUUUGCUGUCACUUAUAGAUGGAUCCGCGCCGCAUUAGCUAGUUGGUAAGGUAACGGCUUACCAAGGCAACGAUGCGUAGCCGACCUGAGAGGGUGAUCGGCCACACUGGAACUGAGACACGGUCCAGACUCCUACGGGAGGCAGCAGAAGGGAAUCUUCCGCAAUGGGCGAAAGCCUGACGGAGCAACGCCGCGUGAGUGAUGAAGGUCUUCGGAUCGGAAAACUCUGUUAUUAGGGAAGAACAAAUGUGUAAGUAACUAUGCACGUCUUGACGGUACCUAAUCAGAAAGCCACGGCUAACUACGUG
rnacentral:rRNA from 1 species